rnacentral:pre_miRNA from 1 species
CAGGGUAUACACAAAAGAAUGGUGCGGUUUCAAAAGUUAAUAAAAAAAUAUUUUUUUUAUUAACUUUUGAAACCGCACCAUUCUUUUGUGUAU